rnacentral:rRNA from 1 species
UCCGAUCAGUAGCCGGCCUGAGAGGGUGUACGGCCACACUGGAACUGAGACACGGUCCAGACUCCUACGGGAGGCAGCAGUGGGGAAUUUUGCGCAAUGGGCGAAAGCCUGACGCAGCAACGCCGCGUGAGUGAUGAAGUCCUUCGGGAUGUAAAACUCUGUCGUUUGGGACGAAACGGCCCGCAAGGGUCACUGACUGUACCAAGUGAGGAAGCCCCGGCUAACUCCGUGCCAGCAGCCGCGGUAAUACGGAGGGGGCAAGCGUUGUUCGGAAUUACUGGGCGUAAAGGGCGUGUAGGCGGUUAGGUAAGUCAGUUGUGAAAGCCCCGAGCUUAACUUGGGAAUUGCAACUGAAACUGCCUAGCUAGAGUUUUGGAGAGGAAAGCGGAACUCCCAGUGUAGCGGUGAAAUGCGUAGAUAUUGGGAGGAACACCGGUGGCGAAGGCGGCUUUCUGGACAAAAACUGACGCUGAGGCGCGAAAGCUAGGGGAGCAAACGGGAUUAGAUACCCCGGUAGUCCUAGCUGUAAACGAUGGAUACUGGGUGUUGAAGGUAUUGAGUCCUUCAGUGCCGAAGCUAACGCA